rnacentral:rRNA from 1 species
UACGUAGGCAGCGAGCGUUUGUUCGGAGUUACUGGGCGUAAAGGGUGCGUAGGCGGUUGUUUAAGUUUGGUGUGAAAUCUCCCGGCUCAACUGGGAGGGUGCGCCGAAUACUGAAUGACUAGAGUGCGGGAGAGGAGAGUGGAAUUCCUGGUGUAGCGGUGAAAUGCGUAGAUAUCAGGAGGAACACCGGUGGUGUAGACGGCUCUCUGGACCGUAACUGACGCUGAGGCACGAAAGCGUGGGUAGCAAACAGGG